GUGCACGAGAGGUAGCCACAGAUAAGAGCUACCAACUCUGUGGAGAGCAAAGGAAGGGAUGGAGCUGGCUGCUCACUGCAGUACAUUGUCCAAAUGUUGCUGUGCCUUUGCAGACUGGCAUUAUAGACAGAUCGUGCUGCUUCAGAUGCUGUCUGGAAAAUUGAUACAGCCUUUUAAAUCACCUGAAUGCUUUGCCAUCACUAUUUGCUGAGCAGCAUAACUCCAGGCAUAAUAUGCUUAUGGGGGUAUUUUAAUUCAGCAGGCUGAUCCUGCCAUCUCACGGUGGUGGCUGGGGAGAGCACUAAGCCUCCCCUGUUGUACUGCGGGCUGGGGCUAGGCCAGACGUACAUGUAUGUUUGGGCCUACGCCCAGGUCCACAGCCCACAGCAAGGCAGCGGGGCUAUCCACGGGUCCAGGCCAAGGCUGAAAGCCGCCUCGAGGCCUGGGCGGCUUAGACAGUGGUGUCCCUGCUUGCUUCAUCAUUACCACCGCUUGCAGCUGUGGGCCAGGGCCGUGGGCUGAGCCACCACUGUUGAGCAGGUGCUUCAGAUGAGGGCCCAGCCACCUGUGAGUGCUCUGCUGAGCUGAUGAGCCCUCAAGGGUUUGGCACACGGACGCAUGGGGCUUGUUUACCUCAGCAGCAGCACACCAGACUCCUGCUUGCAUAGCCCACUACUAAGUGCAGUGGCAGAGGAGAAAGCUGUUCUGCAGCUGGGUGAGCCCAGAAUGGCCUGCUUUGUUUACGCCUCAUCCCUGUCUUUUCAGGAUGACUCUGACUACAGCAUCUCCUUGAUUCAGAAGGACACUGCAGAGAGAGAGUGGGGCUGGAAAGGACAACCUUAA
rnacentral:lncRNA from 1 species